UACGAAGGGGGCUAGCGUUGCUCGGAAUUACUGGGCGUAAAGCGCACGUAGGCGGGCUUUCUAAGUCGGGGGUGAAAUCCUGGAGCUCAACUCCAGAACUGCCUUCGAUACUGGAGUGCGUUGAGUCCGGGAGAGGUGAGUGGAACUGCGAGUGUAGAGGUGAAAUUCGUAGAUAUUCGCAAGAACACCAGUGGCGAAGGCGGCUCACUGGCCCGGUACUGACGCUGAGGUGGCGAAAAGCGUGGGGAGCCAAAAGGG
rnacentral:rRNA from 1 species